rnacentral:misc_RNA from 1 species
UGUAUAUUAGCUAGAAGUGUUCGGCUCUAAUUUUGGUAUGGUUCUAUCAAAAAUUGAAAUCGAACACUUCUAGCUAAUAUACAAUGAAGAGAACAUUUGACGUUGUUGACCGUGAAACAACAUCAGGAUUUAACUAAUGUAGCCACAAAUUCAUCUAUGUUUCUGUCUGAAGUUCCACCUUCAUCAAUUGCCUCUUUGGAUAACUUCUUCCAUUUCCUUGCAUUGUCCUUGAUUUCUUUCGCUUUCGCUCCUUCCAUUACUUCCCUUACGCAAAGGUCCACCACUUCUCUUCUCACAAUACCUUUCUCAUCAGGCCGAGCUCUAAUUCCCAUUUUCCAAACAUCUUCUACAUACUUAGCAUUAGUGGGUUGGUCUGACCAGUGUGGCAUUGCCACCAAUGGAACUCCCAAGCUCAAAGCUUCAAGAACAGAAUUGAACCCACAAUGUGUAAGAAAGCACCCUACUGCCUCAUGUGAUAGGACCUCCAGUUGUGGGCUCCAUGCAACCACCAAACCUUUCUCAGAUGUCUCCUCUAUGAAGUUGCCAGGCAGCUUAGAUUGCUCUGCUGCUCUAACAACCCACAGGAAGUAGCGUUUGGUUCCCUUCAACCCCCAAGCUAGCUCCUCCAUUUGUUCAACUCCAAGUUCUGCCAGGCUCCCAAAAGAUACAUACACCACUGAACCACUAGGCUUAUCAUGCAGCCAAUUCAUGCAAGCACUAGAAUCCGGCUUAAAGAGAUUGAUGC